GAGAGCUUGUGGUCCCUCCCUCAGGCAGGCUGGAGCCUCGCCGUCCUGCCAGGCUGGAGAAGGGGCUCCAGAAGCUUGGACCGGAACACGAAUGCGUCCUGGCUGCUAGAGAGUGUGUGGGACUCUGUCUCCUAGGCAUCCCCCAGAACAGGCCUUUUCUCUUGUUUUAAGUCUGCUCUGCUCUGGGGCGAGGAGAGCCUUCCCAAGAGAGAAGCUGGGGAAGGCACUCUGAAGCCUCCUCCAAUGGCAAGAGUUUUCCCAUCAGGGCAUCUGGCCUGACCCAGUAGGGGCAGAUGGAGAAUUAGGGAGAGAGGGACUGAGGCCAGUGGGAACCAUGGUGGGCUCAGUUAAACCUUGGGCGGGAGAAAGUGAUGCCAUGCAAAUGAAGAGGAGAGAAGAUAACCUUCUGAGGCCAGGACAGCUCCAGGAGGGCCAGGACCCUCCCUCCUCCUCCACCGAGCCCCCAGGCUCCUGGAGCCCCUCCCCCGCCGCCUUCCACCAUGGGCAGGGCUCCUCAGCACAGUCCCCGAUGCCGGCCCAAGCUCAUCGCCAUAUUAAGAAAGGAAAAAGGCUGAGCUAAAAAUAGGACCAGAUGAGUCGGAGCCGAAGCGCCCGGACUACAGGAAGAGACCCUGUGCUUCCCUUUCAAGAGCCAGGACCAAGGAUGAGGUCAUUCUCUGAAUAAAAAGAUGGAGCCUCGGCGGCCAGCGAGAAGGGCCGCCUGGCCCGGCCCCAGCCGCUUUCCUGUGCUUCACUCAACGCCCUCAGUCUGGACGCAGGGGCAGGACGGGGCGUGGGGCCAGGAGCGCUGGCCGGCGUCCACCCUGCAGAAAUCUGAUUUGGGGUUCCUCUCCACGGGGCCGAGCGGAGAAGGGCAAAGUCCUGAGUGCUGCCUCGGUUCGUGCUCAGCACAGCCUCGGAUCAAAGGGGACUCCGCUCUCUAGGGCACAGCGGGGAGGGGUGGAUCCAGGGGCUGGACCGGGCCGGAGGAGU